AUAGUAAAACGCGAAGAGAGAGAUACUUCUGCGGAAACGAAUGGCAGCAGCAAUGGCCAACACCACAUGCCUCCGCUCCCGCCUCCUCGUCCUCCCACCGCCACCGGCGCCCCGCACCGUCGUGUCCUUUCGUCUCCGCCCAUGCGCUACUACGAUCUCCUCGUCCUCCCGAAAGAGGAGACCCCGUCUCGCGGCACGGGCGGCGCCGCCCGGCGGCGCUGUGGCCCCGGCGUCGGCCGCGUCGAAGGAGGAUGACCAGGGGGAGAUGGGCAGCGGCGGGGGCCUCUCUGCGGAUGAUGCAGAGAGGCUGUGUCAGUUUCUGCGGGCCGACCUGCCGCACCUGUUCGACGACGUCGGCAUCGACCGGUCCGCGUACGAUGACCGCGUGCGGUUCCGCGACCCUAUCACCCGCCACGACACCAUCGACGGCUACCUCUUCAACAUCCGCCUCCUCAAGCUCCUCUUCCGCCCCGACUUCUACCUCCACGCCGUCAAGCAGACAGGGCCGUACGAGCUCACCACGAGGUGGACCAUGGUGAUGAAGUUUAUGCUCCUUCCCUGGAAGCCGGAGCUGGUCUUCACUGGCCUGUCGAUCAUGGGCGUCAACCCGAAGAAUCUCAAGUUCAACAGCCAUGUGGAUCUUUGGGAUUCGAUACAAAACAACGAGUACUUCUCUUCUGAAGGACUAUGGGAUGUUUUCAAACAGCUACGGAUUUACAAGACCCCUGACAUAGAAACACCAAAUUACCUUAUUCUAAAGAGGACUGCACAUUAUGAGGUUAGGAGUUAUGCGCCAUUCUUAGUGGUUGAAGCAAAAGGUGAUAAACUGACAGGAUCGUCGGGCUUCAACAAUGUAACCGGAUGUAUCCAUCCAGAUAGUUCUGCCAAUGAACAAAGACUUGGACAGUUUACCAGCUCCAAAUACAGCAGUUACUUUGCGGAAGGUAGAAGGAGGCAUUGCUGCAGUGAAAAAAUUCAGUGGACGACCAAAAGAAGAAAUUGUGCUCCAGAAGGAGAAGGAUCUGCGCUCCCAGUUACUUAACGAUGGAUUGAAGCCUCAUCCAGGCUGUUUGCUUGCACGUUACAAUGAUCCCAGGACAAAGAGCUUCUUAAUGAGGAACGAGGUGCUUAUACGGCUAAUUGACUUCACACUGGAGUUGUAAUCGUCAAUACUGGCAUCAGAUCGAUGUAACACACUGGGCUUGGAGCUUCCAGUGAGUCAUUAGAAAGGAGAAAUGUUGUAGAUGUCAGAUUUGCUUUAUGUAAAUGUAAACUCUAAAAGGUAAUAAGCUACAUGCUAAAACGACAGGUCAUUUUGAUUCGUUUAUCGACCAAAAAUAUUGAUUAAAAUAUAGGAAAACAUUAAAAUGAAAAUACAUGAGAAGUGCCCUUUUACUUAUCUUCUCGUGCUUCUGCGAUUGGAUUGGGCUGUCACGUUUACAUCCUGGGUCCGCUGAUCUGUUUGGGCUUACUUUGCCUGGAUAAUCCGACUCUCAACAUUGAACUCAAUAAGGACACCCUGACUAUGAACGUUCAGCUGAACUGACUGUGCUAAAAUCUAACUAGAAUUUAGCGCUUGUCCACAGGUUUGUGUGAUAAUAAGUUAAUAACUAUAAAUAUACACUUCGUCAUGCACAGUGAGAAAACAUACACAAUGGAUAGGCCAUUAUGUUUAGUUAUGAAAUGCAGUUGCCUCCUUCAAUUAGUGUAAUCUGGCCAGACGAACAGACAUGCUGUCUAUAAUUAUGAAAUGCAGUUGCCACCUUUCGGUUGACUGGCCACCAAACGCAUCAUCCGAAACAGGUUUCAGCGCUGUCUUAACUAUGUCCUGGUCAGAUGCUCAAAAACCAUUGUUGCAUUGCAUUGUUUUUCAAGCACCACGGCGACGAGUGCAUGCAACUUGCAAAUCCAGCACGUGUCCAUAGAUGCUGAAGGUUGGUGCGCCUGUAUCCCUAUCAAGCUGUCCUGACCCUGCAGGCAUGCAAGCCGUACGGGCAGUAGUAGGUGAGAACUGCCGAUGUCUCCAAAACCAUUCAUUCCCUUUUCGUUUGCAAUGUGGGUAACCGAAGAUGUUUAAGAAACUUGGCUGUAAGGUAAUCUAACACUUCAAAUAUUACAGCCCAAAAGCUCAUGGUUAAGGAUUAA